rnacentral:rRNA from 1 species
CUACGGGGCGCUCCAGUGAGGAAUAUUGCACAAUGGGGGGAACCCUGAUGCGGCAACGCCGCGUGGAGGAUGACGCAUUUCGGUGUGUAAACUCCUUUUAUAUGUCAAGAAAAUGACGGUAGCAUAUGAAUAAGCACCGGCUAACUCCGUGCCAGCAGCCGCGGUAAUACGGAGGGUGCAAGCGUUACUCGGAAUCACUGGGCGUAAAGGACGCGUAGGCGGGUUGGAAAGUCAGGUGUGAAAUCCUACAGCUUAACUGUAGAACUGCACUUGAAACUUCUAAUCUAGAGUAUGGGAGGGGGAGAUGGAAUUAGAGGUGUAGGGGUAAAAUCCGUAGAUAUCACUAGGAAUACCUAAAGCGAAGGCGAUCUCCUGGAACAUUACUGACGCUAAGGCGUGAAAGCGUGGGGAGCAAACAGGAUUAGAUACCCCGGUAGUC